rnacentral:misc_RNA from 1 species
GAUGAAGAACGUAGCGAAAUGCGAUACUUGGUGUGAAUUGCAGAAUCCCGUGAACCAUCGAGUCUUUGAACGCAAGUUGCGCCCGAAGCCAUUAGGCCGAGGGCACGCCUGCCUGGGCGUCACACGUCGUUGCCCCCCCAUCUACUCCUUCGGGAUUGCGGGGGGCGGAUGAUGGCCUCCCGUGCGCCUCGUCGCGCGGUUGGCAUAAAUGCCAAGUCCUCGGCGACGCACGCCACGACAAUCGGUGGUUGCGAAACCUCGGUUGCCCGUCGUGUGCGGUCAUCGCGCAUCGAGGGCUCGAAAAAAUUGCCGGGCUCCGGCUCGGCUUUCAACGCGACCCCAGGUCAGGCGGGGUUACCCGCUGAAUUUAAGCAUAUCAAUAAGCGGAGG